GUGCCAGCAGCCGCAAUACGUAGGGUGCGAGCGUUAAUCGGAAUUACUGGGCGUAAAGCGUGCGCAGGCGGUUUUGUAAGACAGAUGUGAAAUCCCCGGGCUCAACCUGGGAACUGCAUUUGUGACUGCAUGGCUAGAGUACGGUAGAGGGGGAUGGAAUUCCGCGUGUAGCAGUGAAAUGCGUAGAUAUGCGGAGGAACACCGAUGGCGAAGGCAAUCCCCUGGACCUGUACUGACGCUCAUGCACGAAAGCGUGGGGAGCAAACAGGAUUAGGUACCCUGGUAGUCCACGCCCUAAACG
rnacentral:rRNA from 1 species